GUUUCCCUCUCUUUCAGUACAACUUCUGCACAUCGGACUCACAGAAAAGGCAAGAUCGAUGCAGCCUUUUGCCAACACCAACACAACGCUGGGGAUCUUCAGAGACUGACACAUGCAAAGGGUCCACUGCCAGACUCAACCGUGGGAGAGGAAACACUACAACCACGAUGCAGCAACGAGGGAACAGAGCAGGCAGAGCAGCGGGUCUGGCACUGGCCACGCGUGCCGGGGUUGAUUCUCUCUCUCCGCCGGUGGACAGGCAGCGUUUGAUGUGAGUUCGUCAGCCAGACUCGCCCGCGUCUGUUAGUGUCUUACAAAGGCCAAUGGGAGCACUUCCAUCAACAGCAGCAGGGACAGGAUCGAGGAAUAUGAGUAUUGAGCAGAAUGGCUGAGGUGGGUGCUGGAUGGGAUGCAAGCUUAGAAACACCACUCCAGGGCCACGGAGAGCGCCACGUGUCCAGGCCGGGUGUAGAAAGUGCGCACCUCCGCCACUGCCUGCAUCACCAUCCAUCC